rnacentral:misc_RNA from 1 species
UUUUUGAUUAUCUUGUAAAUUUUUUUUUUGCUUUCUUAAGAUCAAAGAAAAAGCAAUUAGAAAUGGCAGAUCAACUUACCGAUGAUCAGAUCUCCGAAUUUAAGGAAGCCUUUAGUUUGUUCGACAAAGAUGGAGAUGGUUGCAUUACCACAAAGGAGCUUGGGACUGUGAUGAGAUCACUGGGACAGAAUCCUACCGAGGCAGAGCUCCAGGACAUGAUUAAUGAGGUUGAUGCUGAUGGGAAUGGAACUAUUGA